UACGGAAUGUGCAAACGUUAUUCGGAAUCACUGGGCUUAAAGAGUCCGUAGGCGGCAUGUUAGGUGAGGUGUGAAAAUCCCCCGGCUCAACCGAGGAAUUGCGCUUCAAACCGGCGUGCUUGAGGAAGAUAGAGGUGGGCGGAACUGAUGGUGGAGCGGUGAAAUGCGUUGAUAUCAUCAGGAACACCGGAGGCGAAAGCGGCCCACUGGUCUUUCUGACGCUGAGGGACGAAAGCU
rnacentral:rRNA from 1 species